AGGCGCGUAGCUCAGCUGGUUAGAGCACCACCUUGACAUGGUGGGGGUAGUUGGUUCGAGUCCAAUCGCGCCUACCA
rnacentral:tRNA from 1 species